UAGGCAAUUUGUACCGUUGCGCCUUAAUCCGCGAACAUAUAUUGAUUCAUCUCUCUUUCUCUCUCUCAUAUGAAACAAUCAAAACCCUAACAAAGAGAAACAUAGAAAGAACUCAAUUUCAGUCUCAAUCUACUUUUUUCCCUUAUCGCGUUUUUUCUUUCUCAAUCUAUGUUUUGUUGACGAUGAUUUCAUCAUCAUCAUCACCGCGAACUCCCAUUUCACCUUCGUCUCAUUUGGUUCCGAAUCUCUCAACUUCGCCUUCUCCCAUAAGGUAUCAACCAACAAUGAUGGAUUCUUCACCAUCAUCAUCAUCACCGAUGGAUUCAUCGUCACGAACGCCAAUUUCCUCAUAUCCAUUUGUUAUUACGGCUGAAACCCCAUCGCCUCCGCCUGCUCCAAAGAAACGAAGACACACAGAGCAUACUAUCGAAGCAGUUCGCCGUCUUGAUAUUGAGAUUAUAAUUGAGACUUACAAAAAAAAAUUACAGGAACUUCUAACUAAGGUCAACACCAAAGAGGCUUUGGAGGAAGAAAGAAAAAAGAAAAUGAGAAUUUUGAUGUCACUCCGUUAAGAAAGGUAACAAAUUUAUAAUAAAUCGCUGCUUCUGUGUAGGUAAGAAAGGUAAGAACAAAUUUACCAUGGUUAAUCUUCAUUUGUUAAUUAUUAAUGCAUGAUCUGUUCUUAUUUUUAUCAAAAUUAUUGUCCUGUUAUUGAAUUCUUUACUAACUUGAUCGUCGGAGUCUCUGCAAGUACCACAGGAGAGCCAACAUCUCAAAAACAUGGUGGGUAACAAGUUUGAUUUGUUUGUGUUUAUGCAAGAGUUGAAGCCAUUCUGUAUUAUUCUUCAGAUAUGGAGAACAAGGAGCUGAGGUUGCAAAUGAAGGCUUUGACGCCGCAGGGGAUGCAAUUGGUACAGUUUGUGCUGUGUUUAAACUUACGACGGUACUCAACCCCGAGAAGUUAGUACACGCUGGUUGUAUUAGUUUAUCAGCUCAUUUAUUUUUUCUAAUUGAUCUUUUAUCAUAUGUAUUUAGAGUUGAUCAUAGAUGUUCUGGAAAAAAAAAAGAGAUUGUGUUUGUUAAAUUUAAAUUGUAUAAUUACUUCUGGAAGUUAUCAGGAUAUCAUUCAAAGUUUCAUCAA